GACAGAGGGUGCAAACGUUGUUCGGAAUUACUGGGCGUAAAGCGAGUGUAGGCGGUCUGCUAAGUCGGGUGUGAAAGCCCCGGGCUCAACCCGGGAAGUGCACUCGAAACUGGUAGGCUAGAGUAUCGGAGAGGUUGGUGGAGUUCUCGGGUGUAGAGGUGAAAUUCGUAGAUAUCGAGAGGAACACCGGUGGCGAAGGCGGCCAACUGGGACGAAUACUGACGCUGAGACUCGAAAGCGUGGGGGAGCAAACAGG
rnacentral:rRNA from 1 species